CGCGUAGGCGGCCUCGGAAGUCAUGGGUGAAAGCCCCGAGCUCAACUCGGGAAUGGCCUGUGAAACCACGGGGCUGGAGUGCUGGAGAGGGAAGCGGAAUUCCCAGUGUAGCGGUGAAAUGCGUAGAUAUUGGGAGGAACACCGGUGGCGUAGGCGGCUUCCUGGACAGACACUGACGCUGAGGCGCGAAAGCCAGGGGAGCGAACG
rnacentral:rRNA from 1 species